rnacentral:rRNA from 1 species
CGUUAGUUGCUAACGCGUGAAGGCGAGCACUCUAGACGAACUGCCGUUGACAAAACGGAGGAAGGUGGGGAUGACGUCAAAUCAUCAUGCCCCUUAUGUUCUGGGCUACACACGUGCUACAAUGCCGGUACAGACGGACGCAAAGCCGCGAGGUGGAGCAAAUCCUAAAAAAGCCGGUCUCAGUUCGGAUUGCAGGCUGCAAUUCGCCUGCAUGAAGUCGGAAUCGCUAGUAAUCGCAGGUCAGCAUACUGCGGUGAAUACGUUCCCGGGCCUU